rnacentral:rRNA from 1 species
AACUGCUUGGGAAACUGAUAGUCUAGAGUGAGGGAGAGGCAGAUGGAAUUGGUGGUGUAGGGGUAAAAUCCGUAGAUAUCACCAAGAAUACCCAUUGCGAAGGCGAUCUGCUGGAACUCAACUGACGCUAAGGCGCGAAAGCGUGGGGAGCAAACAGGAUUAGAUACCCUGGUAGUCCACGCCCUAAACGAUGUACACUAGUUGUUGGGAUGCUAGUCAUCUCAGUAAUGCAGCUAACGCAUUAAGUGUACCGCCUGGGGAGUACGGUCGCAAGAUUAAAACUCAAAGGAAUAGACGGGGACCCGCACAAGCGGUGGAGCAUGUGGUUUAAUUCGAAGAUACGCGAAGAACCUUACCUGGGCUUGAUAUCCUAAGAACCUUAUAGAGAUAUGAGGGUGCUAGCUUGCUAGAACUUAGAGACAGGUGCUGCACGGCUGUCGUCAGCUCGUGUCGUGAGAUGUUGGGUUAAGUCCCGCAACGAGCGCAACCCACGUAUUUAGUUGCUAACGGUUCGGCCGAGCACUCUAAAUAGACUGCCUUCGUAAGGAGGAGGAAGGUGUGGACGACGUCAAGUCAUCAUGGCCCUUAUGCCCAGGGCGACACACGUGCUACAAUGGCAUAUACAAUGAGACGCAAUACCGCGAGGUGGAGCAAAUCUAUAAAAUAUGUCCCAGUUCGGAUUGUUCUCUGCAACUCGAGAGCAUGAAGCCGGAAUCGCUAGUAAUCGUAGAUCAGCCAUGCUACGGUGAAUACGUUCCCGGGUCUUGUACUCACCGCCCGUCACACCAUGGGAGUUGAUUUCACUCGAAGCCGGAAUACUAAACU